rnacentral:rRNA from 1 species
CAGCCGCCGCGGGAAUACGAAGGGUGCAAGCGUUAAUCGGAAUUACUGGGCGUAAAGGGCGCGUAGGCGGUUUGCCAAGUUAGAUGUGAAAUCCCCGGGCUCAACCUGGGAACUGCAUUUGUGACUGGCAAGCUAGAGUCUGGCAGAGGGGGGUGGAAUUCCGCGUGUAGCAGUGAAAUGCGUAGAUAUGCGGAGGAACACCGAUGGCGAAGGCAGCCCCCUGGGCCAACACUGACGCUCAUGCACGAAAGCGUGGGGAGCAAACAGGAUUAGAGACCCCCGUAGUCCCUGUCUCUUAUAC